rnacentral:lncRNA from 1 species
CGCAUAUGAUGAUUAUUAAUGACCCUUUCUAUAAGAACCUAUUCACUCUACUCUCUCAUCAUCAAUACCUUUCAGAUAAGAGUUUUUCUUCUAUACGUUUUUCUCCCCUCCCUCUCAAACCUUCAUCUAUCUUCUUUUUCCACCUCAAAAAUAGUAAAUAAAUUAAAAAUCCUUCAUCUUUUUUUCCCUUAUAAAUCUCCCCCUUUAGAAUUUUUGUUGUUGUGAUAUAUUCCCUUUCUUUCCUGAACCCUCCUCAUUCAAAUCUUUGAUAUGAUGAUUCUUUCCUAUAAUAGAAUCUCAUGCACGAUUUCUAGAAAGAUCAACAAAUAUGCAAUCAGUGUGGCUGAUUAUGUUAUGGGUGGAGAGACAUGAGUAUAUAUAUUCAGGUGAAUUGAUGCAUUAUGCAUGCAUUAAUCUAUGUACAUAUAUAUCAUAAUAUUUUUUACACACAUUCAUAUUAGAUCUGAGAUGUUUAUAAUCAUUCUAGAAGAUUGCAUCGGUUAUACCUUUGACAUAUAAAUGUACUUAAUCCCUUAUACUUACGAUCUCUAAACAUAAUUCCUAAUGUUAUGUCAAUGGAUCCGUUUACAAAGAUUAGGUAUAUAUUUUUUUUGAUAAGAAGAUUAGGUAUAUAUGUAUUUAGUAUUUUUACAAACAAGAUCUGGGAUCAGUUUAAUUGCUUAGUUGCUAGAGUUAUAUAUGUGAGAUAAAGUAUGAACCCCAACACAACUUUUUCUAAAGUAAUAUUUUGGAAACUUAAUAGCCAUGAUUAUGAUCAAGGCCAUUUAUCCUUUGAUAACAUUAAUCAUUUGAUACUUAAUAAGAGCAUUAUUGAAAAACAGUAAAACAAAUCUCUGAUUCACACUAUUUUAGUUAUCUCAAAUACUUAUCUAAUGUCUAAUUCAAAAUGUUCCUAUGUAGUGGCCAGAUUAUAAUUUUUAAUUUUUAUAUUACAAAGUCAAAGAGAGAUUUAUAAGUUCAAAAAACAAGGUCAAAGACCUUAUAACUCUAGUUUUUCAAAUGUGUGUAGAGACAUAAAAGAAAUAGAAAUAUAAAUAAUUUGAUUUGUUAUAAGAGAUAUAUAUGCAUAUUACACACCUCUAUAAUCUAUAUAUCUGUCUUUGUCUCUAUAAACCAUACAUGGAUGUAUGGUGCAAUAAUAUAAUAAUAUAUGAUGCCAUUUUUUGUUGAUAAUGGACAGAAAGUGGAGAGGAAUAAAGGGUAUGUGUAUUGUGAUGAUGAGAAAUGGAUAUAAAUCUCAUGUUGUUGACAGAAGAGAGAGAGCACAAGCCAGGAAUAGGCAAAGAGAGUUUGCCUUUGUUGGGAGUGUGCUCUCUCUUCUUCUGUCACCAUCACAUGGAUCCAUGCAUUGCUAGCUAAGGUAGCUAAAGGUAUAGUAUAUGUUAAUAUGAUACAUGAAUGAAUGCACCAUUAAGGUAUAGUAGAUGUGAAUGUGAUGCAUGAAUCAUGAAUAAUGCACUAUUAAAGGUAUGUGAGGCUUUUCUAUUGUUCUGGUUUGAUUUGUUAUAUUUUGUUUCUUUGCUUUUAAAAGGGCUAUCAUAUGUCAACUAUGUUUUUGUAGGCACCCCUAUAUUCAGAAUACUCCUCAUUAAGCAGGUAAAACAGUAAUAAAGGAAACACUUUGUCUUCUGCAAACUUCAAAUUAAGUGCAAAAUUAUAAAUUAAAACACAGACAAAUGUUUGAACUGGAUUAAAUUUUGAAGUUUACACCUUUAACUGUAGAAUAUAAACAUAAAGAAACAAGCUAUGUGAGAUAGGUCAAACCUUUUUUAAUAUAUAGGUGAGACCCAAACUUCUUAACUUAUAUAACCUAAAUAGAUUAGAUAUAUGCUUCUUAAUAUAUAUAUUAAGUUUAACAGACUGAACUAUAUAAUUUGUAAUUUUUUUUAUAUAACAUAUAUAUAUAUAUGUAAAUCAUGUAGCCAAUAUAGUAUUGGGAAUUUGGUAGGUUAGAUUUGUUAUUUAAGGUUGCUUUGUUAUCAUAUUUAAAUAAGUAAACCUAGGUUGCUAUAGGUGGUAUCUGAUUAAGCCAAGACAUCAUUUGUUGCCAUAUUUAUUUACGGGUAAAGAAAUAGGGAAAUAGUGUUUUUUUUCUCCUUCUUAGUGAUGGUUCUAAAAUAGACACAGCAAUAAACCCUAAACCAAACAAUAAAGAAAUCUUAAGAAGACUAAUUUGUUUUCUUUUGUUUAUUUCAGAAAACCAUUUGAAGGCGAAAGGUAUACCCACUUAACUGAUGUAUCCCCUUCCAUGAUUAAUCUUCAAUUAUCCAUGAGAAUUGAAUGCUUAUAUGGAGUGAUAAGUACACAUAUAAAUUGUUUUGAAUAAUGUGGCCCUCUUUAUCCCGAACCAAUGAUAUAUUGUCACAUAAAUUCAGAAAACUUAUUUGUAUCUAGCAAGAACAAAAGUUGAUACAUCCUACGACCCCUUCUUACUUUCUUCUGGUGUUCUAAUGUUUUCGAGUGCUUAACUGCUUGUCACAUUCUUAGUCUUUGUGCACCACACAUUUUUGCUACAAAACAAGUCUCUCUAUACAUAUCUAAACUUUUGCACCACUUAAUUUUUUUUUAUUAAACUAUUUUUUGUCUGUAUAGUUUCAUUGGAUUUUAGAGAAACAUGAUAAAUAGAUUAAACAAUAAUUUGUUUAUCUCGGUUCCAAUAUUAUUUUUUUGAGUUUCAAGCAAGUCUUGAUUAGAAGCUUAAGGUGUUGCGGGCAAAUCAACUUUUCCAGCCAUUUGCAAAGAACAUUUGCAGCAAUUCAGAGGUUGGAUAUUAGUCUUAGGCUGUCUCUGUUGUAAUUAAUUUAUGGGAGCAUAUUAUAUCUAAAAAUGUGUAUUACUUUAUGUAUUAUUACGAAAACACAAAAUAUAAAUUGACACAGUGGGACAAAUACAUGUUAAAGAUGGUCCCACAUGCUUAUGUGGUGUGGAACAAAUACAUGUUACAAGUAGCUGGUUUUGUGAAUACUUUUUCUUCAUGCUUUUUUUUAAUCAUGCUGUUUGUAUAUUAUCAAUUUAAUAGUAUUUAUUAUGCAUGGGUUAUUAUUGUGCAUUAUUUUUUUGGAUUGCAGGGGUGUCACCAAGUUAUAUUUUACUUUGUACAAGGUUUAGUUGUUGUGUCAUGCUCUAUAUUCCUAGAGCUACUUAAAAGCUGAAUGAAAUUGUAGGGAUAAAAUAAUUUAAUCCAGCUAUAUCUAGUUCUGGAUUUAUUUUCCCCUUCAUUUAUUCAAUCCUAAUUGUAAAAUGGAUUAACGUGAAACAAGGUAUUUUUGGCAAGCAUGGUGAAAAAUAUUUAAAAGCUGUGUUUAAAGUUUUUACUGAUGUAAAGAU